rnacentral:rRNA from 1 species
UACGUAGGGGGCGAGCGUUGUCCGGAGUUACUGGGCGUAAAGCGUGCGCAGGCGGUGAUGUAAGACCGAUGUGAAAUCCCCGGGCUUAACCUGGGAACUGCAUUGGUGACUGCAUUGCUGGAGUAUGGCAGAGGGGGGUGGAAUUCCACGUGUAGCAGUGAAAUGCGUAGAGAUGUGGAGGAACACCGAUGGCGAAGGCAGCCCCCUGGGCCAAUACUGACGCUCAUGCACGAAAGCGUGGGGAGCAAACAGG